AUGGUUGGUCACCGGGUUGGCAAGGUACUGGAGCUCAGAGCAGUAGGAAGCCAUGGCGAUCUCCGUGCCCUUGAAGCCGUAGUCCAGGCUCGGGUUGCGGCUGCCUGCCAGGUUGGAGGUCAGCCCGUUGUUGUAGAACUCGUUGACGAGCUCCGAGAACUGCGCGAACAUGAGCUUGCCAAUGUUGGCGAUGGCGAGACGGGUGUUGUCCAUGGACACACCGAUGGGCGUGCCCUGGAAGUUGCCGCCAUGGAGUGCCUUGCCACGGUGGACGUCGAUGACGGGGUUGUCGUUGACGGAGUUGACCUCGCGCUCGAUGGACUUGGUGGCAGACCGGAUGACCUCGAUCUGGGGGCCGAGCCACUGCGGCGACGUGCGGAGCGCGUACCUGUCUUGCUUGGGCUUGAGCUGCGUGUCAAUCUCGUUGACCUUCUUGGCGUGGCCCAUGAAGGCGCUGCCGGCCAGGAUGUGCUCCAUGAUGGCCGCGGCCUCGAUGGAGCCGGGGUGGUGCUUGAGCUUGUGAGUGAGGUGGUCGGUGAACUCGGGCUUGCCGUUCAUCACCUCGCAGAAGACGGCGGACAGGACCUCGGAGAGAACAGCGAGGACGUUGCAGUCGAACAGCACCGUGGCCGCGAGUGCAGAGCCCACGGACGUGCCGUUGACAAUGGCGAGACCCUCCUUGGGGUUGAGCUUGAAGAAGCCGCCCUCGAUGCCAGCGGCCUUGAAUGCCUCGGCGGCGUCCACCUUCUUUCCAUCAACAGUGGUGGCCUGCGCGUUGGGGCGUCCGGUGAUGAGCCCGGCGAUGUAGGACAGUGGCACAAGGUCGCCGGAGGCGGUGAUGGUGCCCCGGAGCGGGAGGCAGGGGCUGACGCCGGUGUUGAUGAGCUUGGUGAUGGCCUCGAGGAUCUCGAAGCGGAUGCCGGAGUAGCCCUGGAGGAGGGGCGGGCCCGUCCUUGGUGCGGCGGUGGGAGGUGCCGCCGAAGCCGGUGGUGA
rnacentral:rRNA from 1 species